GUGAGCUACCACCCCUGGCCUCCUAGGGUAUUUUAAUUGCUGAUGCUUCAUUGCUUUAGUUCUCAACUCAAUGUUACCUUGUCAGAUAGCUAGCCCUGCUAGGCUGCUAUAUUAUAUUCCUCUUUUAUUUCCUUCAUAGAACUUAACCAAAACCUGAAAUAGUCUGUUUUAUUUACUAAUUUGAAAGUAUAAAAAUGUAAGCCUCUUAUAGGCUGACAUCUUGCUGAUGUUACCACUGUAUCAGUAAUACCCAAAAUAAUAAUGUCUAGCACUAAUUCAAUACAUAUGAAUGAAAAACCAAACUUAACUGGCCAAUUCCGUGCUUCUUGAUUUGUUUAUACAGUAGAUCUUCCUCUAAUUGACAGCCUCAUUCGGGUCUUACAAAAUAUGGAACAGUGUCAGAAAAAACCAGAGAACUCGGCAGAGGCUAACACAGAAGAAACUAAAAAGACUGAUUUAACCCAAGAUGAUUUCCACUUGAAAAUCUUAAAGGAUAUUUUAUGUGAAUUUCUUUCUAAUAUUUUUCAGGCAUUAACAAAGGAGACGGUGGCUCAGGGAGUAAAGGAAGGCCAGUUGAGCAAACAGAAGUGUUCCUCUGCAUUUCAAAACCUUCUUCCUUUCUAUAGCCCUGUGGUGGAAGAUUUUAUUAAAAUCCUACGCGAAGUUGAUAAGGCGCUUGCUGAUGACUUGGAAAAAAACUUCCCAAGUUUGAAGGUUCAGACUUAAAACCUGAAUUGGAAUUACUUCUGUACAAGAAAUAGACUUUAUUUUUCUCACUGACAGUUGAAAUUGACUUAUUGGAAAUAUUAACUAAAGCCCAUAUUAG
rnacentral:lncRNA from 1 species